rnacentral:rRNA from 1 species
GAUGAACGCUAGGGGCAGGCUUAAUACAUGCAAGUCGUGGGGCAGCGCAGUGUAGCAAUACAUGGGCGGCGACCGGCAAACGGGUGCGCAAUACGUACGCAACCUUCCUUCGAGCGGGGAAUAGCCCAGGGAAACUUGGAUUAAUACCCCAUAAUAUAACGAAAAGGCAUCUUUUUGUUAUUAAAGCUCCGGCACUUGAA